GAUGAACGCUGGCGGCGUGCCUAAUACAUGCAAGUCGAGCGAACGGACGAGAAGCUUGCUUCUCUGAUGUUAGCGGCGGACGGGUGAGUAACACGUGGAUAACCUACCUAUAAGACUGGGAUAACUUCGGGAAACCGGAGCUAAUACCGGAUAAUAUUUUGAACCGCAUGGUUCAAAAGUGAAAGACGGUCUUGCUGUCACUUAUAGAUGGAUCCGCGCUGCAUUAGCUAGUUGGUAAGGUAACGGCUUACCAAGGCAACGAUGCAUAGCCGACCUGAGAGGGUGAUCGGCCACACUGGAAUUGAGACACGGUCCAGACUCCUACGGGAGGAAGCAGUAGGGAAUCUUCCGCAAUGGGCGAAAGCCUGACGGAGCAACGCCGCGUGAGUGAUGAAGGUCUUCGGAUCGUAAAACUCUGUUAUUAGGGAAGAACAUAUGUGUAAGUAACUGUGCACAUCUUGACGGUACCUAAUCAGAAAGCCACGGCUAACUACGUG
rnacentral:rRNA from 1 species